GAUGAACGCUGGCGGCGUGCCGAAUACAUGCAAGUCGAGCGAACAGAUGAGAAGCUUGCUUCUCUGAUGUUAGCGGCGGACGGGUGAGUAACACGUGGGUAACCUACCUAUAAGACUGGGAUAACUCCGGGAAACCGGGGCUAAUACCGGAUAAUAUUUUGAACCGCAUGGUUCAAUAGUGAAAGACGGUUUCGGCUGUCACUUAUAGAUGGACCCGCGCCGUAUUAGCUAGUUGGUAAGGUAACGGCUUACCGAGGCGACGAUACGUAGCCGACCUGAGAGGGUGAUCGGCCACACUGGAACUGAGACACGGUCCAGACUCCUACGGGAGGCAGCAGUAGGGAAUCUUCCGCAAUGGGCGAAAGCCUGACGGAGCAACGCCGCGUGAGUGAUGAAGGUCUUCGGAUCGUAAAACUCUGUUGUUAGGGAAGAACAAAUUUGUUAGUAACUGAACAAGUCUUGACGGUACCUAACCAGAAAGCCACGGCUAACUACGUGCCAGCCGCCGCAGUAA
rnacentral:rRNA from 1 species